AUCAAGAACAAGAUAAACAAGCAUGCUUUCUCUGGCGGUCAAGAUUCUGAGGAGAAGCACAGAAAAUAUGGAGCAAAUUUAGAGGUAGAUAUACCAAUCAAAUAUUUAAGUUUUUUCCUGGAGGAUGACGAUGAGCUUGAACACAUAAAAAAGGAGUAUGCUGCGGGACGCAUGCUAACAGGAGAGGUGAAGAAGCGUCUUGCUGAGGUUUUGACUGACUUGGUGGAAAGACAUCGUUUGGCGCGGUCUGCAGUGACUGAUGAAAUGGUGGAUGCAUUCAUGGCAGUGAGACCUCUCCCCAAUAUGUUCGACUGA
rnacentral:misc_RNA from 1 species